rnacentral:rRNA from 1 species
AUGGCGGUCGAAUCCAGUUGGCUUAACUACAAAAACUGUGUUGUUCUUAAGGUGGUCAAGGGGGAGGUUUCUGUCUCUGAUCUGCUAACACAACUGAAUGGGAUCUUUUGUAAUAACAAGGAGUGGCCAUGGAAAAUCAGAGAAUUGGAGAACAAGAAAUUCCUGUUAAGAUUUUCACCUUGGAAGAAUGUGGAUGACUUAAUUGAAUUCCCUCCUUUUGAACUACCUAUUGAUGUAGUAUCUGUCAGGAUUUGUGAAUGGGAAGGCAUGUUGGAUGAGUUUGGAGCACUUACCGAAGCCUGGGUGCAGAUUGAAGGAAUCCCACCUAAGUGGUGUGCCUGGAAAGUGUUUGCCCAGAUUACUGCAUGUUUUGGUAUCCUUGUGGAUGUGGAUUGAAAUGGGAUUUUCAAGAGUUUUUAUGAAAUUAUUCGAGUCAAGGUUGCCUGUAGAGACCCAAGGAAGAUUCCUUUUGAGAGAUUGGUGGAGAUGAAAAAGAAACUGUACCUGUUGUUUUUUACAGUAGAAGGGUUUGAA